rnacentral:rRNA from 1 species
GAGUUUGAUCCUGGCUCAGGAUGAACGCUGGCGGCGUGCUUAACACAUGCAAGUCGAACGGGAAAUAUUUCAUUGAGACUUCGGUGGAUUUGAUCUAUUUCUAGUGGCGGACGGGUGAGUAACGCGUGGGUAACCUGCCUUAUACAGGGGGAUAACAGUCAGAAAUGGCUGCUAAUACCGCAUAAGCGCACAGAGCUGCAUGGCUCAGUGUGAAAAACUCCGGUGGUAUAAGAUGGACCCGCGUUGGAUUAGCUAGUUGGUGGGGUAACGGCCCACCAAGGCGACGAUCCAUAGCCGGCCUGAGAGGGCGACCGGCCACAUUGGGACUGAGACACGGCCCAGACUCCUACGGGAGGCAGCAGUGGGGAAUAUUGCACAAUGGGGGAAACCCUGAUGCAGCGACGCCGCGUGAGCGAUGAAGUAUUUCGGUAUGUAAAGCUCUAUCAGCAGGGAAGAUAAUGACGGUACCUGACUAAGAAGCUCCGGCUAAAUACGUGCCAGCCGCCGCGGUAAUAC